AUGAUACAAAAACAAGGUUUUUCAAUGGACUACAAAGUAAAGACCAUACCAGGAGAUGUUCACAGCUUUAAUAACAAAGGAACACCACCUGCUCUUUUUCCUGUGGUUCAGCGCACCUCUGGGACCGGAGACAAACUGACUGUUGGCUGUCUUGUACAUGAUUUCAAUCCAAAAAGUACUUUUCAGUGGACUGAUGGGAACGGGAACGAUCUGACCUCAGAGCAAUACCCUCCAGCUCAGAGAAAUAACACAUAUACAGGAAUCAGUUUGAUCAAGGUAUCAAAACAGGACUGGAACUUAAAGAAGAGCUUUCAUUGCUCUGUGAAACAUGGUGAAAGCACGAAAAGUGUCCCGGUAAAAAACAGUGACCGAGUGCUCUCCGAAUCGAAGAUAAAUCUGGUCUCAGUGUCGAGUGGAGAUGAACAGAUGCUGGUGUGUUCCAUUCAGGAUAUCUAUCCACAAGAGUUGUGUGUCAAGUGGAAGAAAAACUCUCAUUAUUUGAGUCAGUUUAAUGAACUGACUAUACAAAAUAAUGGAGGCACGUAUUCAGCUGUCAGUAUCCUCAAAGUCAGAAAUUCAGAAUGGAACUCUCAAAGUGUUUACAUGUGUGAGAUAACACACGACGGGAUAACACUCACAAAGGAAUUCUCUAAAGUCACAGUGGUGUUGAGCAGUUCAAAUCUCAAAGAAAUUCAUGACAACAACCGGUCAGAGUAUGAGUGUGUCGUCUCAGGACAGAACGACUCUGUCCUACGGAGUACGACCAUCAAGUGGCAGAUUGAUGGACGGGCGACCACGGACAACAUUGAGCAGAAAAAUGUUGUAAAUGGCAAAAGCAGCAAACUGACAAUGACCCUCACACAGUACAGCCAAGUCAGCAAAGUGAGCUGUUCUGCCGUUAGUGAAGACAUGACAUCGUCCACUCGAGAGCUGACUGUCCACAACGGAGAUGGCAGUGAGCCAAAAGUGACCGUCAUCAAGACAGACAUCAAUCAGGGAUCUUCAGCCGAGGUCACUCUGGUGUGUCUGGUCUCCAGCAGCGUGCUGCAGGAUUACUACAUCGCUUGGUCAGAAGAUGAUGGACAAAGCAGUGGAGAGUAUCAGGAUGGCAUCACAACCACUUCACAAAAAACCAAAAAUGGCUUCUUGGUUACAAGUAUUUACACCACCACCAGGGAAAAGUGGAAGACUAACAUGUUCCACUGCAACGUAUGGACGCCCAAGUUCAACGUGACAAAAGGAGUGUCUGACGCAGAGGGUGAUCUUUCUGAGACAAGUUUUGUUCUGAGCUGCACCGAUCACGACCCUGAGGAUGAAAUCAGCAGCCUGUGGUCAACAACAUCCACAUUCAUAUUUCUUUUCAUCUUCUCUCUCUUCUAUAGCAUGAUAUUCAGUCUCAUCAAGAUGAAAGGACACUGAAGGCUGGGAUGGCUGAGGAUACAUUGAGUUCCAUUUCUUCGGAUAUUUUCAGAAAAUCUUCUGUUUUUUGCAUUUUUAAAGACUUGUGAAUAAUAUGUGUGCAUCAAUAACUGAUC